rnacentral:lncRNA from 1 species
UGUAGUCUCCCCUCCCCUAGCCUGAAACCUGCUUGCUCAGGGGUGGAGCUUCCUGCUCAUUCGUUCUGUCACGCCCACUGCUGGAACCUGCGGAGCCACACACGUGCACCUUUCUACUGGACCAGAGAUUAUUCGGCGGGAAUCGGGUCCCCUCCCCCUUCCUUCAUAACUAGUGUCGCAACAAUAAAAUUUGAGCCUUGAUCAG